GUUUAGGAGCAAAGUUUUUUUUUUCUUUUUUUCUUUACAGUGAAAGCUCGACGAACGGACAGCUCCCGCUAAUUGUCUUAAGCCCAAUUCUUUGUAGAAAUUUCUUUGUAGAAUUACAGAAAAACAAGUAUUUGUAGACUUGUGAAGCAACUUUUUAGACAAAAAUGGAUAUGGAUAUAGAAAACUUGAAGCAAUCGAUAAUCGAAAGGAUCGCAAUCUGUACAAACUUCAACUAAUAUAGGAGCUGUCCGCUCAAGGGAGCUUUCACUGUAUUGGGCGUGUUUACCUCUAAGGCUGAUAGAAUGCGACACGGAUGCACUAGGUAGACAAUUGUGGACUCAUCACUGUAGCCGCCGCAGGAGAACUUGUUCAACUGUUCGAUGUCGUCAGCUGCGAAUGUCGGAGUAGAUACUCUUGUGAGGCUUAUCGCAACUUGUUUGUAUAGGGGCUUAAUAUUGUUUAAUUUGGGGUGCUUUUACAGUAAGGCAAUAUGACAAGCACUGAACAAAGAUAAUAAUAAUAAUGCUUGGAGCGCCAGUGGGAUGACGUCAGCAGCCGGCCGCUGGCCUCCACUCAUUUUGCUAGUGUGCGCGUGUGUGUGUGUGUGUGCGCGCGUGUGUGUGUAUUACGUAUGCCUGUGUUGGAUGUGCUAAUUAAGCAAAAACCAAGACCCAAUAAAUUGUGUACUAUUUUUGAACAAAA